rnacentral:rRNA from 1 species
GUAACACGUGAGUAACCUGCCCCAGACUCUGGGAUAAGCCUUGGAAACGAGGUCUAAUACCGGAUAAGCGGCUCCACCGCAUGGUGAGGGUUGGGAAAGUUUUUCGGUCUGGGAUGGACUCGCGGCCUAUCAGCUUGUUGGUGAGGUAAUGGCUCACCAAGGCGACGACGGGUAGCCGGCCUGAGAGGGCGACCGGCCACACUGGAACUGAGACACGGUCCAGACUCCUACGGGAGGCAGCAGUGGGGAAUAUUGCACAAUGGGCGAAAGCCUGAUGCAGCGACGCCGCGUGGGGGAUGAAGGCCUUCGGGUUGUAAACCCCUUUCAGCAGGGAAGAAGCGAAAGUGACGGUACCUGCAGAAGAAGCGCCGGCUAACUACGUGCCAGCAGCCGCGGUAAUACGUAGGGCGCAAGCGUUGUCCGGAAUUAUUGGGCGUAAAGAGCUCGUAGGCGGUUCGUCGCGUCUGCUGUGAAAGCACGAGGCUCAACCUCGUGUCUGCAGUGGGUACGGGCGGACUAGAGUGUGGUAGGGGAGACUGGAAUUCCUGGUGUAGCGGUGGAAUGCGCAGAUAUCAGGAGGAACACCGAUGGCGAAGGCAGGUCUCUGGGCCACAACUGACGCUGAGGAGCGAAAGCGUGGGGAGCGAACAGGAUUAGAUACCCUGGUAGUCCACGCCGUAAACGGUGGGCACUAGAUGUGGGGCUCUUUCCAUGAGUUCCGCGUCGCAGCUAACGCAUUAAGUGCCCCGCCUGGGGAGUACGGCCGCAAGGCUAAAACUCAAAGGAAUUGACGGGGGCCCG